rnacentral:rRNA from 1 species
GAUGAACGCUGGCGGCGUGCCUAAUACAUGCCAGUCGAGCGAACAGACGAGGAGCUUGCUCCUCUGACGUUAGCGGCGGACGGGUGAGUAACACGUGGAUAACCUACCUAUAAGACUUGGAUAACUUCGGGAAACCGGAGCUAAUACCGGAUAAUAUAUUGAACCGCAUGGUUCAAUAGUGAAAGACGGUUUUGCUGUCACUUAUAGAUGGAUCCGCGCCGCAUUAGCUAGUUGGUAAGGUAACGGCUUACCAAGGCAACGAUGCGUAGCCGACCUGAGAGGGUGAUAGGCCACACUGGAACUGAGACACGGUCCAGACUCCUACGGGAGGCAGCAGUAGGGAAUCUUCCGCAAUGGGCGAAAGCUUGACGGAGCAACGCCGCGUGAGUGAUGAAGGUCUUCGGAUCGUAAAACUCUGUUAUUAGGGAAGAACAAAUGUGUAAGUAACUAUGCACGUCUUGACGGUACCUAAUCAGAAAGCCACGGCUAACUACGUG